rnacentral:rRNA from 1 species
AGGACGAACGCUGGCGGCGUGCUUAACACAUGCAAGUCGAACGGGAGUACUUUGAAAGCUUGCUGGAUGAGUACUUUAGUGGCGGACGGGUGAGUAACGCGUGAGGAGCUGUCCUAUGCAGGGGGACAACAGUUGGAAACGACUGCUAAUACCCCAUAAGCCGAGAGGUAAAAGGAGCGAUCCGGCAGAGGAGGUACUCGCGUCCUAUCAGCUAGUAGGUGAGGUAACGGCUCACCUAGGCGAAGACGGGUAGCCGGCCUGAGAGGGCGAACGGCCACACUGGAACUGAGAUACGGUCCAGACUCCUACGGGAGGCAGCAGUGGGGAAUAUUGGGCAAUGGGGGGAACCCUGACCCAGCGACGCCGCGUGGGUGAAGAAAUCCUUCGGGAUGUAAAGCCCUGUUGUAUGGGAAGAGCAGAAGACGGUACCAUACGAGGAAGCCCCGGCAAACUACGUG